UACAGAGGUCCCAAGCGUUGUUCGGAUUCACUGGGCGUAAAGGGUGCGUAGGUGGUGGGGUAAGUCGGAUGUGAAAGCCCCGGGCUCAACCUGGGAAUGGCAUUGGAAACUGGCGGGCUUGAGUGUGGCAGAGGGGGAUGGAAUUCCGCGUGUAGCAGUGAAAUGCGUAGAUAUGCGGAGGAACACCGAUGGCGAAGGCAAUCCCCUGGGCCUGUACUGACGCUCAUGCACGAAAGCGUGGGGAGCAAACAGG
rnacentral:rRNA from 1 species